GAUGAACGCUGGCGGCGUGCCUAAUACAUGCAAGUCGAGCGAACCACUUCGGUGGGAAGCGGCGAACGGGUGAGUAACACGUAGGUAAUCUGCCCAUCAGACGGGGACAACGAUUGGAAACGAUCGCUAAUACCGGAUAGGACGAAAGUUUAAAGAUGCUCCUGGCAUCACUGAUGGAUGAGCCUGCGGCGCAUUAGCUAGUUGGUGGGGUAAAGGCCUACCAAGGCGACGAUGCGUAGCCGACCUGAGAGGGUGAACGGCCACACUGGGACUGAGACACGGUCCAA
rnacentral:rRNA from 1 species